CCCUAUGAAUUUUUUCAAAGACCUUUCUUGUUUGGAUCUUUGAAAAAAUUCAAGAAAGGUUUUUGAUUAAUUGGGGUGAUUUUUAAAUUUUAAAAAACUUUAGAAGUGUAUUACUAGAUCCAAUAUUAUUGAUGAUUUAAAAAAAAUACUCUAGGGAUAACAGCGUUAUUACUUUGGAUAGUUCAUAUAGAUAAAGUAGAUUGCGACCUCGAUGUUGGAUUAGGAUACCUUUAUUAAUGAAGAAGUUAUAAAAGGAGGUUUGCUCAACCUUCAAAUUCCUACAUGAUCUGAGUUCAGACC
rnacentral:rRNA from 1 species